GUCCCAGACUAAUCAGGUACAGAACAGCCAGGAGAUUGGCUUGUUUCUAUGAAGAGGGAGAUUUACAGCCCAUCAGAAAGCUUCCCUGGGGGCUGAUCACCCACAGGGAAAACUAUUAUGUAUCCUCCACAAAAGAGGCUGCCUUCAUUUUCUGCAAGGCGGUAUACUCCCAGCCCCCAGACCGAAUAGCCCCCGGACCGAAUUUCAGAACAAUGAGGCAGCCAUGAUGUUGAAAGCAACAAGCAUUUAUUAUCUCCCCAUUUCUGGUGUGACUGAGCUGAGUGCCUUUGGCUCCGGGUCUCUCAUAAGGCUGAAAUCAAGGUGGGCAGUGCCGCAGUCAUCUCAAGGUUAAACCAGAAGUGGAUCUUCCAAGCUCAGUCAGGAAAUCAGUCCUGAAUAUUCAUUGGAAGGAUUGAUGCUGAAGCUGAAACUCCAAUACUUUGGCCACCUGAUGCGAAGAGCUAACUCAUUGGAAAAGAUCCUGAUGCCUGGAAAGAUUGAAGGAGAUGCAGAAUCUGAUUAAGACUCCAGGCCAAAGAAUUUUGAAGACUUCUGGCAUACUUGACUUCUAGGCAAAAGUCAUCGUCCUUCAGCCACACCUUCCUUUUGUUCUUGAAACCUGCUUCUGGCACAGGAAGAGGAAAAAUGUCCUGUACUUGCUAUCUCUCAGGCUGUUAUAUUUUUCUGAUAAAUGUCAGGCUGCAUUCACUUGUGAACAUUUCCCUCAUAGGUUCAGAUAAUUAAUUGCUGAGUCUUGCUGCUUUCUUUUGAGAAAGGGGCAGUAUAUAAAACACAUUUUGUAAUAAAAAUAUGUCUGCUGCAUAUGCUUUAAGAAUAAAUGCUAAAUUUCAGAAC
ensembl:lncRNA